rnacentral:rRNA from 1 species
GUGGGGAAUAUUGGACAAUGGGGGGAACCCUGAUCCAGCCAUGCCGCGUGUGUGAAGAAGGCCUUUUGGUUGUAAAGCACUUUAAGCGAGGAGGAGGCUUACCUGGUUAAUACCUGGGAUAAGUGGACGUUACUCGCAGAAUAAGCACCGGCUAACUCUGUGCCAGCUGCCGCGGUAAUACAGAGGGUGCGAGCGUUAAUCGGAUUUACUGGGCGUAAAGCGCGCGUAGGUGGUUAAUUAAGUCAAAUGUGAAAUCCCCGAGCGUAACUUGGGAAUUGCAUUCGAUACUGGUUAGCUAGAGUAUGGGAGAGGAUGGUAGAAUUCCAGGUGUAGCGGUGAAAUGCGUAGAGAUCUGGAGGAAUACCGAUGGCGAAGGCAGCCAUCUGGCCUAAUACUGACGCUGAGGUGCGAAAGCAUGGGGAGCAAACAGGAUUAGAUACCCGGGUAGUCC